rnacentral:SRP_RNA from 1 species
CUUUGGUCCCCUCGCGGCGAUAAAUUGUGAACUCCGCCAGGCCCGGAAGGGAGCAACGGUAAC